GCUCAACCGAGGAAGUGCUUCGAAAACUGGUAAACUUGAGUGCAGAAGAGGAAAGUGGAACUCCAUGUGUAGCGGUGGAAUGCGUAGAUAUAUGGAAGAACACCAGUGGCGAAGGCGGCUUUCUGGUCUGUAACUGACGCUGAGAUUCGAAAGCAUGGGUAGCAAACAGGAUUAGAUACCCUGGUAGUCCAUGCCGUAAGCGAUGAGUGCUAAGUGUUGGAGGGUUUCCGCCCUUCAGUGCUGCAGCUAACGCAUUAAGCACUCCGCCUGGGGAGUACGACCGCAAGGUUGAAACUCAAAGGAAUUGACGGGGGCCCGCACAAGCGGUGGAGCAUGUGGUUUAAUUCGAAGCAACGCGAAGAACCUUACCAGGUCUUGACGUACCAUGAAAAGCUUAGAGAUAAGUCUUUCCCUUCGGGGACAUGGAUACAGGUGGUGCAUGGUUGUCGUCAGCUCGUGUCGUGAGAUGUUGGGUUAAGUCCCGCAACGAGCGCAACCCUUAUUAUCAGUUGCCAGCAUUCAGUUGGGCACUCUGGUGAGACUGCCGGUGACAAACCGGAGGAAGGUGGGGACGACGUCAAAUCAUCAUGCCCCUUAUGACCUGGGCUACACACGUGCUACAAUGGUCGGUACAACG
rnacentral:rRNA from 1 species